AUGCAAGUCGAGCGGGCGUAGCAUACGUCAGCGGCAGACGGGUGAGUAACGCGUGGGAACGUACCUUUUGGUUCGGAACAACACAGGGAAACUUGUGCUAAUACCGGAUAAGCCCUUACGGGGAAAGAUUUAUCGCCGAAAGAUCGGCCCGCGUCUGAUUAGCUAGUUGGUGAGGUAAUGGCUCACCAAGGCGACGAUCAGUAGCUGGUCUGAGAGGAUGAUCAGCCACAUUGGGACUGAGACACGGCCCAAACUCCUACGGGAGGCAGCAGUGGGGAAUAUUGGACAAUGGGGGCAACCCUGAUCCAGCCAUGCCGCGUGAGUGAUGAAGGCCCUAGGGUUGUAAAGCUCUUUUGUGCGGGAAGAUAAUGACGGUACCGCAAGAAUAAGCCCCGGCUAACUUCGUGCCAGCAGCCGCGGUAAUACGAAGGGGGCUAGCGUUGCUCGGAAUCACUGGGCGUAAAGGGUGCGUAGGCGGGUCUUUAAGUCAGGGGUGAAAUCCUGGAGCUCAACUCCAGAACUGCCUUUGAUACUGAAGAUCUUGAGUUCGGGAGAGGUGAGUGGAACUGCGAGUGUAGAGGUGAAAUUCGUAGAUAUUCGCAAGAACACCAGUGGCGAAGGCGGCUCACUGGCCCGAUACUGACGCUGAGGCACGAAAGCGUGGGGAGCAAACAGGAUUAGAUACCUGGUAGUCCACGCCGUAAACGAUGAAUGCCAGCCGUUAGUGGGUUUACUCACUAGUGGCGCAGCUAACGCUUUAAGCAUUCCGCCUGGGGAGUACGGUCGCAAGAUUAAAACUCAAAGGAAUUGACGGGGGCCCGCACAAGCGGUGGAGCAUGUGGUUUAAUUCGACGCAACGCGCAGAACCUUACCAGCCCUUGACAUGUCCAGGACCGGUCGCAGAGAUGUGACCCUCUCUUCGGAGCCUGGAGCACAGGUGCUGCAUGGCUGUCGUCAGCUCGUGUCGUGAGAUGUUGGGUUAAGUCCCGCAACGAGCGCAACCCCCGUCCUUAGUUGCUACCAUUUAGUUGAGCACUCUAAGGAGACUGCCGGUGAUAAGCCGCGAGGAAGGUGGGGAUGACGUCAAGUCCUCAUGGCCCUUACGGGCUGGGCUACACACGUGCUACAAUGGCGGUGACAAUGGGAUGCUAAGGGGCGACCCUUCGCAAAUCUCAAAAAGCCGUCUCAGUUCGGAUUGGGCUCUGCAACUCGAGCCCAUGAAGUUGGAAUCGCUAGUAAUCGUGGAUCAGCACGCCACGGUGAAUACGUUCCCGGGCCUUGUACACACCGCCCGUCACACCAUGGGAGUUGGUUUUACCUGAAGACGGUGCGCUAACCCGCAAGGGAGGCAGCCGGCCA
rnacentral:rRNA from 1 species